UACGUAGGUGGCAAGCGUUGUCCGGAUUUAUUGGGCGUAAAGGGCGCGCAGGCGGUUCGUUUAGUCCGAGGUGAAAUCUCCCGGCUCAACUGGGAGGGGUCUUUGGAUACUGGCGGACUUGAGGUGAGCAGAGGUGAGCGGAAUUCUGGGUGUAGUGGUGAAAUGCGUAGAUAUCCAGAGGAACACCAGUGGCGAAGGCGGCUCACUGGGCUCCACCUGACGCUGAGGCGCGAAGGCGUGGGGAGCGAACCGG
rnacentral:rRNA from 1 species